UACGAAGGGGGGCUAGCGUUGUUCGGAAUCACUGGGCGUAAAGCGCAUGCAGGCGGAUCGAUAAGUCGGGGGUGAAAGCCCGAGGCUCAACCUCGGAACUGCCUUCGAUACUGUCGAUCUUGAGUCCGGGAGAGGUGAGUGGAACUCCGAGUGUAGAGGUGAAAUUCGUAGAUAUCCGGAAGAACACCCGUGGCUAAGGCGGUUCUCUAGUACGGUACUGACGCUGAGACGCGAAAGCGUGGGGAGCGAACAGG
rnacentral:rRNA from 1 species